rnacentral:sRNA from 1 species
AAAAGAAAAACGGGAGGAGAUCGAACCGGACAGAAACGAAAGCAACCACCAAGCCUGGUAAGAGGCUAAACGAGAAGAAGGCUAAAACAUGACCGGAUCAAGAGGCGCUACUAGCAACAUAGACCAACCCACAAAAACAACAUAAGCCAUCUAAGAACCAUUCGAAAAUCCCUACACCACAACGCACAUAAACUAAGUAAAAGCAACAUAAACUUUACAACAGAGCAAGAGACGCAUAGCUCCGGCGCUAUGGAAGCCACCAAAGCCAGCCAACGCAAACUGAGAUCUAGAUCUACUUUUAGAGAGAAUGAAGAGGUUUUAGAGUCCUCCAUUCUUUACACAAAUUAUU